GAUGAACGCUGGCGGCGUGCCUAAUACAUGCAAGUCGAGCGAACGGACGAGAAGCUUGCUCUUCUGAUGUUAGCGGCGGACGGGUGAGUAACACGUGGAUAACCUACCUAUAAGACUGGGAUAACUUCGGGAAACCGGAGCUAAUACCGGAUAAUAUUUUGAACCGCAUGGUUCAAUAGUGAAAGACGGUCUUGCUGUCACUUAUAGAUGGAUCCGCGCUGCAUUAGCUAGUUGGUAAGGUAACGGCUUACCAAGGCAACGAUGCAUAGCCGACCUGAGAGGGUGAUCGGCCACACUGGAACUGAGACACGGUCCAGACUCCUACGGGAGGCAGCAGUAGGGAAUCUUCCGCAAUGGGCGAAAGCCUGACGGAGCAACGCCGCGUGAGUGAUGAAGGUCUUCGGAUCGUAAAACUCUGUUAUUAGGGAAGAACAUAUGUGUAAGUAACUGUGCACGUCUUGACGGUACCUAAUCAGAAAGCCACGGCUAACUACGUG
rnacentral:rRNA from 1 species